UGAAAAGCACUUUGAAAAGAGAGUUAAAAGCACGUGAAACCGUUGAAAGGGAAACGCGCUCGGCUAGCAAUGCACGUUGGUGGUUCAGCCGGCUAGUCUUGUCGAGUCGUCGUUUCGCGGAUCCGAAUGGACCGCGGGCGGCGGCAUCGGUGGGCGAGCUGUGGUGCACUCCAUCGGCGUGCGCGUCAGCGUCGGUUCUCGACGGGCGAUAAGGUGCGUGCGGGGAAGGUAGCUCGGUCUUCGGACGGAGUGUUAUAGACCCGCUCGGCGCUGGGUUCGUCGUGGGACCGAGGAGAGAGAUGAUCGUUGCGGCACCUGCCUUUCGGGGCUAGCCAGCUGCUGUCAGGUGCGGCGUCACACGUUGAGGACUGCACGCAGUGCUUGGUGUGGAGGCGUGAUCUGGCCGGUGGUGUGGGUAUAGAGGUGCCUAGGACGCUGGCGUCCAAAUGGCCGUGCGCGACCCGUCUUGAAACACGGA
rnacentral:rRNA from 1 species